GCGACAACGCCAUUUUAUCUUCAGGCGACCAAGACGGCAAGUUGGAUUGCUUUUCUCUUUAUAAAUUUACAUGGGAGAAAUACUUUUUGUUGAUAAUGUUACUCAAAAUUUGAUUGGUGGUGAACACAUUUAGAAAUUACUAACUGCCAGUGUUUUGUUAAGUUCGUGAGGUGUAGAGAUGCAAGGUUAGCCUGUGUGAAAGUUUCUAAUGCGGGUUCGAUUUCCUGAAAUAGGGUGAUUUUACUUGUAAAAUAAUUUUUGGAAUGUGUUUACAAUUUAUGUUAUAUAUAUACUUUUAGCUUCUUUCAUUUUGGUUCGAUAACAGAUCCUCUCUCCUUCAUUCCCGCCGAGGCCUGGUUUUACUACGAGUCUGAAGCAGCCACAUUUGGGCGGUUUUCUAUUCCGAGGAGAGAAUUCAUCAAAUGAAUUGCCCCAGACGUCUGCAGUGUCAAGUGAAGGAAGCUCCUCCCAUAAGAUUGCAGACUGGGAGUCUGAUGACACUGAGUGUGAGUGAUGGAAGCCCUUCAAGAAAGGAGCAGAAUGCUGAAGAUGAAGCCAGAAUUAAGCCAAGUUCCUGGCUUUUCCCAAGACCUUCAAGGACACGAUUGACCUCGGAAUCAGCUGUAAAGGAGGAUGAAACCAAUGUUUAAGAAUGGGACAGCGAUAUUGCAUCAAUUUGUCUCCUUCAUUUGAUUCCACCGUCACCACAAGGCUGCAAGGGACCUGGAGAAAUGUCCUCCUAUCAAGCUGAAAAAUAUCUUCAAAAAGGCACUAAUAAGAACACCUUGAUUGCAUAGAAGAGACCACACAGCCAUACCUGCUCACUGAUGGGACAACGUGGAACAGCAUUCAUGGAUGCUACACAACUGUCGACAAGUAUCUUGCUGCAGUCUUGUUCAAAGCUACCUGUCAUAUUUGUUAAUGUCUAGGUAAAUUUGAUGAUUUUAUGUGUUUUAUUAACUAUGUUAUGUUUCCGUGCAACACUUAACGAAUGUGACUGACUAAUUAACCUCUACACAUCUGGUAUAUGCUUUAGAGUUGCCACUUUGCCCAUUUGUUAAAUAAACG